UACGUAGGGAGCAAGCGUUGUCCGGAAUCAUUGGGCGUAAAGCGCGCGUAGGCGGCCUCAUAAGUCCGUUGUGAAAGUCAAAGGCUCAACCUUUGAAAGCCGAUGGAUACUGUGAGGCUAGAGUCCGGAAGAGGCGAGUGGAAUUCCUGGUGUAGCGGUGGAAUGCGCAGAUAUCAGGAGGAACACCGGUGGCGAAGGCGGGUCUCUGGGCCGAAACUGACGCUGAGGAGCGAAAGCGUGGGGAGCAAACAGG
rnacentral:rRNA from 1 species